GACCAUCGAGUCUUUGAACGCAAGUUGCGCCCAAAGCCGUCGGGCCGAGGGCACGUCUGCCUGGGCGUCACMCMCC
rnacentral:rRNA from 1 species